rnacentral:rRNA from 1 species
GACGAACGCNGGCGGCGUGCCUAAUACAUGCAAGUAGAACGCUGAAGAGAGGAGCUUGCUCUUCUUGGAAGAGUUGCGAACGGGUGAGUAACGCGUAGGUAACCUGCCUUGUAGCGGGGGAUAACUAUUGGAAACGAUAGCUAAUACCGCAUAACAAUGGGUGACCCAUGUCAUUUAUUUGAAAGGGGCAAAUGCUCCACUACAAGAUGGACCUGCGUUGUAUUAGCUAGUAGGUGAGGUAACGGCUCACCUAGGCGACGAUACAUAGCCGACCUGAGAGGGUGAUCGGCCACACUGGGACUGAGACACGGCCCAGACUCCUACGGGAGGCAGCAGUAGGGAAUCUUCGGCAAUGGGGGCAACCCUGACCGAGCAACGCCGCGUGAGUGAAGAAGGUUUUCGGAUCGUAAAGCUCUGUUGUAAGUCAAGAACGAGUGUGAGAG